rnacentral:lncRNA from 1 species
GUUAGGAUUUUAAUGGGAUGACAGGCAGUAGUUUUUAAUAUCAGGGACCAGUGUUUUUUUUUAUGGAAAAAACAAAAUCUUUCAGCAGUACAAUUCCAGAGCUCAAUUAUGGAUGAGUGUGGAACACAAUCUGAACUAGAGUUCUUCCAUGAAUGCUGAAGGCCUAAGAAGAUAUUUUAGCAAGAUAAUAUAUUGGAGUGGGUCUUUGCCAAAUUUGCUAAAGUCACUGGAAGAAGUUAUUACUGCUACUAGAACUCAAAUUGUUCUGAUAAAAGAUCUUCCAACUGUCAUCUGUCGUGGGCUCACGUCGUGAGUACAUUUGAAGAACUGUAGCUAGAGAUGAAGAGCCUCCCAAAUGUCUUCCCAGUUCUCCCUGAAGUCACGGGAAUGGUGCCUGUAUGAUCUUCACCUACUUACUUGAGCUGCAGAGAGCUCCAGGCACAGGUUUUAAAGAGAAUUAAGGUGCUGUCCAAUUGCGAUCUCAUUGCAUCACAGCAGCCGCCUCCACUUUCAUAAAUGAGGAAACUGAGACUCAAAAUGGUUACAUUAUCUUCCUCACGCCAAAUUGGAGAAUGCUGGUCAUUUUGACUGCAAAUCUCUCAUUCCAUCUCCCAUCUCCCAGCUAUCUGGCGUCCUGUCCCAUACAAAGCUGAGUCAUAAUAUGUCCCAACAGUUUUGGACCUAUUUCAGUAAGCUCCUUCUUGAGAGAUGUUAAAAUAUUAUUUAAAAAGUGGCAGGUCUCUGUUCUUUAAGACUUAGGAAACUCAUCCAUGAAAAUAAACCUUCUUUGAGACCUCAAAAAAAAAACUGUUCUGAUAAGAAUUAGAAAAGAAUUGAACAUCUGUCAACCCUUAAAUAACUACUGAUAUCCCCUAAUAGAAAUGCAUACUAUAGCAUUUUCUAGGUUUAAGAAUUCAGUGAUAGUACUUGUUGUUGAAUUUUUUUUGACAGUGGUUUUGCGUAAUCCUAUCCAUUCACAGUUGCCUUGCUGAGUUCCAGCUUUGAAACCUGGAACAUUGAAAGAAGCAAAAUACCUCUAUAGAAACCACAGAGUUCUCUUUUGAAAUAUAAACAGUUGCAUCUACUCCAGUUUUCUGUGAGCUUUAAAGCAACCUCUCGACAAUGAUUAGUGUGUCAGUUCCGUCACUGGAAUCAGAUGUUUCUGUUUGCCUUUUGCUUUCUUAUUUUUGCAAUCUUGAAAUAAGUUUAAUAAGUCAUCUCAUAAUCUGUCAUAUUAUCUAUUUAAACUUUUUGUUAUGACAGUAUAAAAUUUUUAAGACAUUGACAGAGCUUGUUGAUUCUUUUUCUUAUAAUAAAGAAAUUAAUGUUAUAAUUGGUUUUUAUUAGACACGAAUUUAAGCUGCCCUUCCUUCCUCCCCUUUCCCAGCCUAAACAAUUCUCUUAUAAAAGUCUGUUUGAAAAGUUACCAGUUUAACAGCUUUUCACAAAAGCUUUUCAAGAUCAAAAAAAGUCAUAGUCUUAGAAAAUCUUUUAGAAAUAUUUUUUCUGACCACUGUUGUUAAUCUUCCACAAAUUAUUUUCUGUUAAUAUUCACAUUUAGUAACCAUUUUUAUAGCAACUUAAUAUGGUAUAAUGGCUUGGAUAGUAUGAGUGUAGUGGUAAAAAUUGUAGGCAGUAUGUUAACAUCAGCAAGCAUUUUAUUGCCUAUCAUAUAUAAUCAUGGGAUCUUUUACACAGAUUUUUAGUUAAUGUUGUUUGGUAUGCCUGCCCAAGUAAUAUAUUCUGUUAUAUUUGAAUACUGAUUUGUUCGACUUAAAAAUACAUAAUCACUAUGCUCACAAACUUUUCCUACUGGUAAAGACUUUAUAGCUAAACAUGUGUCUAUUAAGGCACAAUUAUUUAUCUAACAGUUUUUUCAAACUUCUAGUAACUUAGAAAUCAUUUUAUUGACUGCUUUUUAGAUAUAUAAGUUCUUAUAAAAACUGGUUAUCAUCAUCAUCUCUCUCCUUUUAAGUAGCAUUUAAUCAAUCCUCUUUUAUAGGUAAUUUUAUAUAACUAUCACAAUUUCAAGGAUGCUGUGAAGGAAACAUAAUAGAUUGAGUUUUUAAUUGUCCACUCUCAAGUUGAUUGUAAAAGAGAAGUUAGUGCUUCCAGCUUUGAGUAAACAUUUUAUUUUUGGCUAUUUUGAAAUAUACAGUUUUUUUACAUUUAUAGGUUUGCUAUUUUACAAUUUGACAUAAAUAGAACUUAAUUGAUCGCUUUAACAAUCUCAUUGUUCAAUGACAACAAAUCAGACCCUUUUAAAAGUAAAAUGGAAUCUGAUUUUUUUUAAAAAAAUUAUAAUGCUUCUGAGUAAAAGCUAUUUGAAAGGUCUUUGAAGUACUCAACACUAAAUAAAAGGACUUUUUAAUUGGGAAAAAAAAGGUGACAGAAAAUGAAACUUCAUGAAGCAAUAGUGAUUACUUCUUUAAUACCAACAAAAAGUGGAAAAUAAUUUUUAUAAAUAAGCAGAAUGAUUAAAUACUCCAUUUGUAGAGGAAUCCUGAAAUACUCAAAUAAAGCAAUACAACAUGAUAGUGGAUUUUUCAAGCAUUUAUUUCCCCAAAAUAUUUGCUAAAUACAUUAAUCCUUUGGCUUCACUAGUUUUACAUCUAGCCAAGAUAUUUUCUACACCUUAAGCAAUAUAGAUUAUUUUGUUAUUAUAUCCCUGAUAUAUAUGGCUUGGCUUUAUUUUUAAUAUUCUUUGUUUAAUAUUAUUUUUCUUAUAAUAGAAAACAAGAAGACCAAUGGUAGGUUAUAUUUAUUUAACUUCAUUUACAUAAGUUACUUAUAGGCAUGCCACAAACAAUGGCAUUGAUGUUUACUGAAUAUAAUAAACAUGAAAUCUAGGAUUUCUGAACCCUCGUCUCCUCUGAUUUUCCUUUUUUUUUUUUUCCUGAUAUAAACAUAGUCCCCUUUUUUCUUUUUUUCUUUUUCUUUUUAUUAGAGCAGUUAUAGGUUUACAGAAAAAUCUUGCAGAAAGUACAGUGUUAUCCUGGUCUUUUCUUAAUUCACUGAGACACAUUCCCAUUUUAAAAUAUUGGCCUACAUCUUUAGAAAUUAUGAAUAAAUGUUAAAGUCAUAAAUAUUAAGAAUAGUUACCUAGACUUUAAUGUCUAGAUAUUCUUAUAAUUUUAUACAAAUUUCACUUUAAUAUGUACUUGAAAGCUUUUACCACAAAAGAAAAAAUAGAAGUUUUCAAACCAUGUAUAUGAUUUUUAAUACCUAUUCCAGUGUGCAAAUGAAUUGAUUGUCCUGUGUUGCCCCUACAAUGCUUCUAUAUUUAUAAAAUCUAUUUAUAUAAAUCUUAUCUCUCUUUAUAACUUGUUUCAUUGCCUAUGGCUUUAGUCUGUGUUCCUCACACCAAAUUUCUGUGAAUUUAUAACUUGCUGCUAAAGCAAUUGUACAUAGUUGAGAUUUUGAAGGAAAAAAAAAGUCUUGUAUUUUGCUGCCCUCUUGUGGACCACCCUGCAUAUACUACCUGCAAUUAAAGACCUCAUUUUGCUACAUUCUUCAUAAGAAUUAGUGAAAAUAAUCUGCUUUAAAAAAAAGAAAAAAGAAGAAAAAAAGAAAGCCACAGACUUAAAUAUUCAGUUUUUUAUAGCAUUAUUAUGCUACCAGUUGGCUUAUGUCCAUUUAGUUCUGUAAGAAGAAUUAAAACUUUGGUUACUUUACUGCAGGU